GAGAAAGAGAGUCCUAAUGAAACAUGGAAAGAACAGAAGAAGAGCUUCUUGUGGUUAGGGAAAUCACAAACAAAACCCAAACUAAAAAAUCCCAUCUUUAAACGUUCACUUUCCCAGUUCCUGCCAAAACUCGCACAAAUAUCCCAGGCCAACUAAGCACCACCAAGUUUGCUCUUUUCAUCUGAUACCCAGCUGAUUCCUUCUACUUAACCAGACUAUAGCUAUCAAACCCAGAAACGAAAAGCUUUAGGAAGUACCAAUGGGUGCGAUAAAGUCGGCUAUUGGUGAUGCUGUGCUCACGUUCAUGUGGGUCUUCUGCUCGUCAAUGUUCGGCUUCUUUACCAGCCUCAUAGCCACUGCGCUCGGCGUUCAUCACCAGUUUUGGGCCUCUCUUUUUAUUACCACUGUUAUUGUUUUUGUAUUUGUUUUCUUGUUUGGCCUGAUCGCUGAAUUCUUGGGUGGAGCCAGUUUUAAUCCCACUGGUACUGCUUCUUU
rnacentral:misc_RNA from 1 species